AUUAAACCGCUUUCUUUCUCUUGGUUCAGCCGAACCGGAAUCAAAAGCCCAUCAUCAGGAGAAAUUAACUAUGAUUAGCCUUAAUUUUCUUACUUCUUCUUCCUCUGAUGACCGAACCUGAGAAGGAUCCCCAACCCCAGUUCCACCUCUUGGUUACCUCUUCCAUUAAAUGCUCAUCCUUAUGUGUCUUAUUGAGAAGAAACCAACGAAACCUCUGCACUGCCUCAUCCCACCUCCUCUUCCUCUAUCUAAUAAACCCAGUGCUUUUCAUCCUCUUCAAAAUUAAAACACGCACAAAUGGAAGAAAGAACAGAGGAAAGAAUGAAAUGAAGCUGAGGGAGAAGGAAGGAGCCAUCAACAGCAAGAAGAUAGACUGCAUUCCUCAUCAUUCUGAAUCUUUGAAGUAUCCUUACUGGUGGUAACCAUAAGUAAAAGAGGAGUGAGAACUCUCUCUUGCUCAAACUUGAACCGGCCACUUGUUCGUAGGGAGAGUGACCGAAGCUUCAAUUUCGUAUGGUUAGGAUCUCUAAUUCAAGGAAGAAGCACAAACAGAAUUUUGAACUUCAAAAGAGGUAAGGGUUUGAGUGUUUAGAAGGAUAUGUUUGUGACUGAUUGAUGGUGCUGUUGGUGAAUUGUAGGCUUGAUAAUGUUAUUUGGGGUUUUAAGUUGUUAUGUGCAGAAUUUACUUGAAGGCUAAAGGCCAUGUUUUAUGAUUGAAUUAGUUGGUAGUAUAAGUUGUUGUGCUUGAGAUGGGUUCUGUUAUAACUAACCCAGUUGGAUGAUGAUGAAUGAUGAUUUAUUAUGUGAAUGAACGAUAGAAAGUACAUGUGGAAAUUCUGUUU